rnacentral:misc_RNA from 1 species
GAUUUUUAUUGUCAUUAAUUUAUAAUUGUAAUAUUACCGUACAUAACACAUAAACCCAUUGCCAUUUGCAAACAAACAGAGACAACUGAAAAAUAACUUGCAAAAACUCUUUUAGUGAGAGAGGCUAGGACGAACACAGGUCCUUAAUCCAUCGAAUCGUCAUAAUCGUUAAUGUCUGAUCCAUCAGAGACCAUCAAAAGCUGGACCUAGCCAGAUCCGAUUCAGAUUUGGAACCGGACCAGUCUAACCCAGAUUCAAAAUUGGACCACAACCACCCUGACUUGAAUCUGACCAAAACCGUUUAGUCCAAU